AACUGCCAAAAUGGCCAUAGCAGAAACAUUUAUGUCACAGCCCCUGUCAAAUUCUAAUGAAUCUGGAAAUUCUGCU
rnacentral:ribozyme from 1 species